rnacentral:lncRNA from 1 species
UCAUGGCUUCAAAGCUGAAAAUAAACACAGGCACUCCAUUGGUGGAAUAAUUUAUUCACGCGAAUAAAAGCACAUUUAAAAGCAGGUAAAC